rnacentral:rRNA from 1 species
GAUGAACGCUGGCGGCGUGCCUAAUACAUGCAAGUCGAGCGAACGGACGAGAAGCUUGCUUCUCUGAUGUUAGCGGCGGACGGGUGAGUAACACGUGGAUAACCUACCUAUAAGACUGGGAUAACGUCGGGAAACCGGAGCUAAUACCGGAUAAUAUUGUGAACCGCAUGGUUCAAAAGUGAAAGACGGUCUUGCUGUCACUUAUAGAUGGAUCCGCGCUGCAUUAGCGAGUUGGUAAGGCAACGGCUUACCAAGGCAACGAUGCAUAGCCGACCUGAGAGGGUGAUCAGCCACACUGGAACUGAGACACGGUCCAGACUCCUACGGGAGGCAGCAGUAGGGAAUCUUCCGCAAUGGGCGAAAGCCUGACGGAGCAACGCCGCGUGAGUGAUGAAGGUCUUCGGAUCGUAAAACUCUGUUAUUAGGGAAGAACAUAUGUGUAAGUAACUGUGCACAUCUUGACGGUACCUAAUCAGAAAGCCACGGCUAACUACGUG